UACGUAGGGGGCAAGCGUUGUCCGGAAUCAUUGGGCGUAAAGCGCGCGUAGGCGGCCUUGUAAGUCCGCUGUGAAAGUCAAAGGCUCAACCUUUGAAAGCCGAUGGAUACUGUGAGGCUAGAGUCCGGAAGAGGCGAGUGGAAUUCCUGGUGUAGCGGUGGAAUGCGCAGAUAUCAGGAGGAACACCAAUAGCGAAGGCAGCUCGCUGGGACGGUACUGACGCUAAGGCGCGAAAGCGUGGGGAGCGAACAGG
rnacentral:rRNA from 1 species